rnacentral:misc_RNA from 1 species
UGUUCGAGCGUCAUUUACACCCUCAAGCUUUAGCUUGGUGUUGGGCUAUUGCCACCGGCAUGCCUGAAAAUCAGCGGCGAAUUUGAGCCUCUGGCGUAAGCGCAUUGAAAUUACCGCUGAGCCUCUGGUGAGAAGUCUGCCAAAGACUAGAUAUUCCAUAUUUUGACCUCGGAUCAGGUAGGGAUACCCGCUGAACUUAA